rnacentral:siRNA from 1 species
GAAGAAAAAGAUUGUCGGCUACCU